UACGGGGGGGGCAAGCGUUGUUCGGAAUUACUGGGCGUAAAGGGCUCGUAGGCGGCCAACUAAGUCGGAUGUGAAAUCCCCAGGCUUAACCUGGGAACUGCAUCCGAUACUGGAUGGCUUGAAUCCGGGAGAGGGAUGCGGAAUUCCAGGUGUAGCGGUGAAAUGCGUAGAUAUCUGGAGGAACACCGGUGGCGAAGGCGGCUCACUGGACUGGUACUGACGCUGAGGCGCGAAAGCGUGGGGAGCAAACGGG
rnacentral:rRNA from 1 species